AUUUCUUUUUUUGUAUGUAGACUGCACUUUUUUCAAGUAUUAAGCAUUUUUGUUUAUACUUUCAUGUGCCAAAGAAGGGAAGGAAAUUUCUACUUAACUUCUUGAGCUCUCUUGAUAAGGCCAAACUUGCAUGAAAAAAAUACUUUGUGCAAGUCAAACAGAAUUGCUUCAAGGCAGGAGGGAGGAAACACUUUAAAAUGUGCAAGGACAUGUAACGCUUCCCGACUGCAGAUCAAGGAAGUACAGUAACAUGCUGGGGAAAAGUCUCUUUUAUCUGAAGAACUGUGAAUGUAUGGGAUGCCAGCUUUUUCUUAAUGCGAUAUUAAGAUAAGCAGCAGCAGGGUGAACCUGUAAGGGAUGUCAUUUGAUUCCUCAAUUUACAUAUCUAGCAAAGUAUGACAUGCUAUGAAGAUCUCACCCAAAAGGUAUUCUUUGCUGGGCUUGCUUCUCCUCUCCCAUUUCAUCAUUUACUUCUGCUAGCAGCUUGCAAGUGUCUGUUUUCCCUGGGCAGUGUUUGCU